UACGAAGGGGGCUAGCGUUGCUCGGAAUUACUGGGCGUAAAGCGCGCGCAGGCGGUCUUCCAAGUCAGUGGUGAAAGCCCGGAGCUCAACUCCGGAACUGCCAUUGAAACUGUAAGACUUGAGGAUGAGAGAGGUGAGUGGAAUUCCCAGUGUAGAGGUGAAAUUCGUAGAUAUUCGCAAGAACACCAGUGGCGAAGGCGGCUCACUGGCCCGAUACUGACGCUGAGGUGCGAAAGCGUGGGGAGCAAACAGG
rnacentral:rRNA from 1 species